GCGAUGAAACCACUUCGCACCGAUCGAAUCAUCAGUCCUGCAAGUUCAUCAACACUUCACUUGAUUUAAAACUUUGACGCUACUGUAAACAUUAAUGAAGGACUUUUUAUGGUUGUCCUAUUAAUUUUUAGACAUAGAAAACUUGCUUAGAUACUCGUGGGGGUCAUGAUAGUCAGUCUCUUUCAUUCAUUGUCAGUUAAUCCGUGAUGGUUAAUAGUUAUUUACAUGACAGCGAUGGCAAAUCCAUGUAACAUUACUGCUGACAUGAAACAGUACAUUCUGAGGGAGGUAGGCUUAGAGAUUUGUAAUGUUCAUUGUUUAAUGAACGCAUGUUAUUGUUUUAAUUAAAUGUUUUGUACUUAGGCUCCUCCAACUAUUUGCGUUAGUAUGUUCCAAAUUUUAUAACGGAUGACGAGGAGGAAUAUUUGUUGCAGUAGGACUUUUAUCUGUGAUGCUACUAUGUACCUACAUAACAUGUCAGCAGUGCUUUAUACACACUGCCCUGUGUCUCUUUUGUAAGGUAUACAGAGCUCCCAAGCCCAAGUGGACACAGUUGUCAGGGAGGAGGCUACAGAACUGGGGGUUUGAUAGAACUGGCUGGAAGACCUGCUAAGAGGGCAUUGCAAUAGUCCAGCCUGGACAGAACAAGAGCUUGAACAAGGAGUUGUGCAGCAUGAUGGUGGAUUGCCAAAUCCCAAAGGAAUGCUUGCUGAGAAACUCCCUUAUUGGCUGCUAAAGUACACAGAGAAAAUAUCGGCUCUUGUAGUUUUUGCUGGAAAGACAGCUAAUCAUGUGCUUGUGAAUACAAGCCUGGGGAGGGAAUUAUGUCUGAAACUCCUCAAACAGAAGAAAGCUGUUACAUGCUAUCAUUGUUGGUACAAUGAAGAAGUCUGCUGAUUCUCCAGGAUGACAUGUACAAAUUCUAUCUGCAUGGUAUUCACGGAGUUUGUGAGGAUAUUUUCGUCGGAAGGUGUGGUGAAUCUCUCAUCAACGAAGGCUCAGGAGGGCAACACGCUGCCCCGCAGCACCAGAGUCUCCCUUACCAUUCGCCAUGUUCCCAAAGUUAUCCGGACCAAUCUGUUGCUUGGCAAGAAGUGACACAUUCACAGACUUGCUUGAACUCUGAACCAGACAAACAGGUUAUACAUGUUUACACCCGCAAUGCAAAGUGUGGGAAAGCAAUAUACAAGUGUCUACAGUAUAUUAUUGUACAUGCAGAGCAUUAGUGUCUGUAAGGGUAUUUCAUUAUAGAUACCUUACUUGGCGGCAUGCAGCAGCCUUUAAAAUAUUUGUCUUCUCAAAGAUGAAAGGUAUACAGGGUUGUCUAAGCUUGUGCAAACAGAUCUGCAUUGAUAAACAAAUGGCUUUUUUGCGACAUAAAUAAAUUGCUGUAUUUAUGCAUUUAGCAGAUGCUUUUAUCCAAAGCGACUUACAGUGCAUUCAGGCUGUCAAUUUUUACCUAUCAUUUACAGUCUGUUGUAUUGUGUGUGUGUUUACACGUUUGUAUAAUCCUGUGCCAGUCUGUCACGCAAACUACAACUCGUCGUUCAGGUGUUAAGUCUUCCCCUCCUAAAAUUCUUGGAAAUAUGGGCUGGUCUUUCUCUACGAUGUUUGCGUAUCGUUCUUAUGUGGGCUGGUAGUACGCCGUUUGCGUAACUUCUGGACUCUGCAUAUA